GACGAACGCUGGCGGCGUGCUUAACACAUGCAAGUCGUACGGUAAGGCCCUUUCGGGGGUCCACGAGUGGCGAACGGGUGAGUAACACGUGAGUAACCUGCCCACAACUUUGGGAUAACGCUAGGAAACUGGUGCUAAUACUGGAUAUGUGCUCCUGCUGCAUGGUGGGGGUUGGAAAGCUCCGGCGGUUGUGGAUGGACUCGCGGCCUAUCAGCUUGUUGGUGGGGUAGUGGCCUACCAAGGCGGCGACGGGUAGCCGGCCUGAGAGGGUGACCGGCCACAUUGGGACUGAGAUACGGCCCAGACUCCUACGGGAGGCAGCAGUGGGGAAUAUUGCACAAUGGGCGCAAGCCUGAUGCAGCAACGCCGCGUGCGGGAUGACGGCCUUCGGGUUGUAAACCGCUUUCAGCAGGGACGAAGCUUUUUGUGGCGGUACCUGCAGAAGAAGCACCGGCUAACUACGUG
rnacentral:rRNA from 1 species